rnacentral:lncRNA from 1 species
UUUUUCCACCUUGAAUAACUUUUGCGAUAAGCUUCAAAUGAAAAUGGUUACUUAUUAAAAGUUUUAGAUAUUUCAUUCCUUUUUAAUUUGAGCACAAAUUUGACACCAUUUGAAUCUUGCAUGAGGGAGUUAUGGAUUUUAGAAGUUGAGGAAAAAUGCUUGUUCAAUGAUGAUGGCCCAAAAUGACCUAUAAUGUUUCAUUUUGGUACAUGCCCUUGCAAAUAGAUUUUGAAAUUUACCGAAGAAUAAAAGUUGGAGAAUACAUCUUGAAAUUAAUCAUGAAACUUGGAUGGUAUUCAUAUCAGAAAAAUUUAGCAAGUUAUGGUUCUCGGAAGUUGACCUUCUAUCUAGGGCACAAACAAAAUGACCUAUAAUAUUUCACCAUAAAAAUGACUUUCCAAGCAAACUUAGCUCUUGAUGCCAACAUGAAAUUUGUUUGGAAUGUCAUAAAGAGUAACGUUUCUCUUGGAAUAAUUUUCAUAUGACAAAACUUGAAGGAUACAGGGUCUAGGGAAGCCUAGAUUUGACCAGUUGACUUUCUCUAGUCAACCUCUUUGAACCAUCUUGCAAACUUGAAGUUCUUUUUAUCUUUGGGUCUCAUGGAGAAUCAUAUAUGCUUGAGAUGAUGUACAAUGAAGUAUACUUUGAAAUCUUUGACCAAUUGAUGAAGAAACUGGCUGAGGAAGUCAUACAAGAUACCUAGAUGAAUUAGGGCUUCCAAGGAAAACAAACUUCAAACCUUUGAUGAAUUCUUGAUCAAAUUGACAAAUAAAGUACAUGGGGAUCCAUAUAUGAUGCUUAGAACCAUGGUGAACCUUUCCUUGAUUGAUCUCUUUCAUUGAGGGAGUCAAGCCCUAGAUAUGAGCUUGAUAGGGCACAAAUGGAUGCACACACUACCUACAAAAGAAAUGAAACUAUACUAGACAUAUUUUUGGUAUUUUGGUUAGUAAACAAAAGAAAAUAAAGUAUGAUACAUUAAAAUGUGUUUGGUGAUAUCUCCCAAUGCAAACCCAAUGAAUGAGGGGUAAGGAGGAUACCAAGGUGUGAUCCCAAAGCCAAUGCAAAUGAUGAGAUAGUAUGAGGGAUCUUAAGGUUAAAAUUUGGGUCUUACAGUUACCACUGUCAUCAACAGGACGAAUGUAGCCAUAAACUACCAUAUAUCAUAUAUCCACAUCAUGACCAAGAAAAAUACUUUCUAUUUUAUCAUUCCAAUAGUCAAAAUUUUAUCCAUUAAAGACUGAAGUUUUGGCACGAUAAUGGUCUCUUUCAUUGUUACUAGCGGGUGCAGUUGGUGGAGGAAUUUCUGCCAGAAUGUUUCAAAAGUCUGGAUCUUUAUCUAACACAAUGAAGUGUUGGAUACACAAUCAAUACCAGAACCAGAGCUCUGAUUCUAAUUUAACGUAAUGGAAACACAAGAAAGGGGGUUUGAAUUGGGUUUCAAGAAAUAUAACUUUUGCAACCCAAAGAUGCAAAUAGAAAACUAAGAACAAAAAUAAUGAACUCGAUUAUUUUUAUCAUGGUUUGCUAUUAACAAGGUGAUUUCGCCUUAUCACAAGGACUUAAUCCACUAUAAUCAAACUUGAUUACAACAAAAAGACCAACUGUCAAUGUCUUUCUGAGUAAUUCUGACUAAAUCCUAGUCACUCAAGAAAAUACAAUCACAAAGAUUGAGAUGCAAAAUGUGUUUACAAAAUGCUUCUGAGAAAGAAAAAUACACAAAUGAAUUACAAGUAUAGCACAUAAAAUAUAUAUUCUAUGAUGAGUAUGAACAAAAAUUCAUUGUGUGUAUGUUUCUUUUCUUUUCUCUCAAAAUAUUUCAUAAAACUCAUUAUUCAUGUAUAUGUUAAUCUCUUAGAGUGUAGCACAAUUCAAUUCUUCCAAGUCUUCUUUAUAUAGGCAAGGAAGAGAUCCAUUGGAGGGUAAAAUUGGAAUACUUAAAUGCAAUUGUAUCUUUGCAUAACGGUCUGUGAAAAUGAGAGACAAAAUGAUACAAUAGUCAGUCCUUAGUCCACAAAAUCAUUGUAGUGGAUGAAUAUUUGAUCUUGUACUGUGUACUAUUUUCUCACGUAAAACCUUUUUGAUCUUAUCUUCAAUUUUCAGAGGCUUCUGAUAAAGAGGUAAUGAAGCAUGUAUAGAAGGAAGAAUAAGAGUCUGGUUGAGAGAAUCUUCAGAAACUUUGUCUUCAGAGUCUUGAUCCAGUUCAUCAGAACAUGGUCUUUAGAGUCUGGUGACACAAUUCAUCCGAAUUUUUUAAGCGCACGACUCCAGAGCUUGACAACGUCAAAAUCGGACUUAUGAAAUGAAAGUUAUGACCAAAAUCGUCGGGAUGUGUCAACAAUUCAUUAACCGAACGUAAGAACAAAAACUUCACCAACACAGUAGGCAUAGGAAUAAUAUUCAAUCAAUUCACUUAUCACCAUCACAUUAUAUCUCUUAGAGUCACCUUUCUAAUGCUUUAAACCCCAACCCAAAAUGAUUCACGAGUUGAAAGUUAUAAUCAAAACCGUGCACGAAGGCGUUACUAAAAAGUUGUUAUUUUCUAAAUUUUCCGACAUAAUUUUCAUCUUUUUCAACCCCAAAAACGUCCAUGAAAUAAUCUCCAAAAUUAUUUUAUUCCUGAAACAAAGUUAUAGCCCUCUGUUUCAGAUAUCCAACGCUUCAAACGACACUCGAUUUAGACUUACGGAUCAAAAGUUAUGGCCAAAACGAUUUCGAUCAAAAAACACAAUAAAAUGCUCGUGAUUGUGAGAGACAGAAUGCAUAAUUUUCUGCGUUUUUCAUCGUUGGAGGCCUUCCGGGUCUCCGAUUUCGAUUCCGUAAAAAGCUAAACAUUCAGUAAAUUACAACCCAUGCAAUACUAUAAUUAUCUAAUAAUUUACAGUUUUAACACAAUUAAAUCAUCUAAUCACUGUUUCAAGAUUAUGCCUGAAACCUUCAAAAUUGCAACAAUGGUGAAUAUAAGUUCAAUCAUCAAAAUAGAAAAUUACACACAUAUAAGACACAUGACAUUUAUCAUAUAAUCAUCAUGGCAUCCAAAUUCAAAAUUAUGAAUCAAAACACUCAACCUUAAGGAGGUUAAGGGUUCCUCCAUUCUAUCAUUCUAUCAUACCCUUUACUAUUGGAACAAGUUCUCACCCUUACCUUAGAUUUUCCAACAAGAUGCACACUUCAAGCUCUAACAAUGGAGUUUUCUUUUAGCCAUAUCUCUUCCCUCUUCUCACCACAAAAUUCUAUUUUACGUAAAACCCUCCAAACUCUCUUACUAACCUUUUUAUCAUUAACCUAAUCCCCCUCAAUUAGGAACUUCCACCAUUGCCCUCACUUAUCAUAUUAUUUACCACCAUAUCCCUUUUGACUCUAAUUUUCUUUUAAUAAAAUAAUACUAAUAAUAUUCUUCUUUUUCUCGAUCGUAUUUCUACUCUUUUAUUUUAUUCCAAUCAAUUAAAUAAAAUAGUUAUAGGUUAAUUAUUAAAAAUUCUCAUUAUCCCCAUUAAAUAAGUAAAAUAAUUAAAUUUCAUUAUUUAAUUAAGAUGCUCAUAUUCUAGUUAUUUAAUUAAAUAAAAUAGUUAUAGGUUAAUUAUUAAAAAUUCUCAUUAUCCCCAUUAAAUAAGUAAAAUAAUUAAAUUUCAUUAUUUAAUUAAGAUGCUCAUAUUCUAGUUAUUUUUAUUUAUUUAUUUAAUUAAUUCAAAUAAUACACUAUUUAUUUCAAUCACUAAUUAAAAUUCUAAUUAAUUAUCAACAACUAUACCAAAUUCUUAUUGCCUCCAUACUUCUAUUUCAAGGAUACCUACCCCCACAAUCAUACACAAUUAAUUUAAAACACACAUUAAUCAUAUAAAAAUCUAAAUAAUUCAAAUUAAUUAAUUAAUUAAAUUCGGGGUGUUACAGGUGACACAAUUCAUCAGAAUUUUUUAAGCGCACGACUUCAGAGCUGAACAAUGUCAAAAUCUUCUGAGUCAUAAAGCUUUGGAUAAACUAUGUUCAGAAGCGUUGAGUACAGAAUCCAAAGCUUGUUUAUCUUGUAGAACACACAUCUUAGAGUCAAAGUGCACUAGGUUCAGAAUCUGAUGUUGUCACACAUCAUUCUAUCAAAGUCAAAACUCAUCUAGUAUUUGCACACUAAACAAAACCAUUAAGAUACAAAAUUGUUCUCUAAAAAUCUAUGUAUUGUUAUUACCAAAACAUAAAGUUAGAUGCAGAACCAAAUCUUAUUCUUAUAAAAUUACCAUAAUUUUAUUUUAUUGAAAUUUAUAAUAUAUCCUUCUCUUGACAAUGUGUGGUCCAAAUUUUUUUUUCCAAUAAUUGAAAAAUACUAUUAGUUUUUUAGAUUAUUUUUUUUUUCUUUUUUCUAGACUAAAGAGGAUAUUCAUUACUAAACUAAUAUAUAAGUGUUCACAGGGACCAAGUUACUCAUUCAUCUUCUUUCUCAUAGUCCAUCAUUUGUGAUAUUAGUUCUAACAAUGUUAUCACUAGUACUUCUCCUUGCUAUAGGUGCUUAAUUCUCUCUCCUAAUCUCUCCGCUAAAACACAAAACCACUAAACAUUUUCCACCUGGUCCUAAAGGCCUUCCCAUAAUAGGAAAUCUUCACCAACUAGACCUCCUUAAUAUUAGUGUUCAACUUGCAGACUUUUCAAAAAUAUAUGGUCCUAUAUUUUCACUUAAACUUGGUUCAAGACAAGCUAUUGUAGUUUCUUCAUCUGAAAUUGCCAAAGAAAUUUUUAAAAAAAAUGACCAUACGUUUUCUGACAGACCUCAAUUAUAUAGCCAACAAAAAUUAUCUUAUAACGGAUCAGAAGUUUUAUUUUCACAAUACAAUGAAUCUUGGAGAGAUAUAAGAAAAAUUUGUGUUAUUCAUAUUUUUAGUUCCAUACGUGUAGCAUAUUAUUCUUCCAUAAGAAACUUUGAGGUGAGGAAACUGAUUAAAAAAAUAUCAGAAAAUGCUAAUUCUUCAAGUGUUACAAAUAUGAGUGAGGUAUUGAUAUCUCUUGCAAGUUCUCUAAUAUGUAACAUUGCUUUUGGAAAAACCUUUGAAAAUGAAGGACCUGAGAGUAGUAGUAGGUUUCCUGAAAUGUUGCAUGAGUUUCAAGCUUUGCUAGCAGAAACUUUUGUUGCUGAUUAUAUUCCAUUUACGGGUUGGAUUGAUAAAGCGAGAGGAUUGCAUGGUCGUCUUGAUAAAAUUUACAAGGAGUUUGAUAAGUUUUAUCAAGAGAUUAUUGAUGAACAUUUGGAUCCAAA